GACGAACGCUGGCGGCGUGCUUAAUACAUGCAAGUCGAACGAAGCUGCAUAUAGGAAGCCUUCGGGUGGAAUAGAUGUAGACUUAGUGGCGGACGGGUGAGUAACGCGUGAGCAACCUGCCCAUAAGAGGGGGACAACAGUUGGAAACGACUGCUAAUACCGCAUAAGACCACGCUAUCGCAUGAUAGAGGGGUCAAAGAAAUAUCGCUUAUGGAUGGGCUCGCGUCCCAUUAGGUAGUUGGUGAGGUAACGGCCCACCAAGCCGACGAUGGGUAGCCGACCUGAGAGGGUGAUCGGCCACAUUGGAACUGAGACACGGUCCAA
rnacentral:rRNA from 1 species